rnacentral:rRNA from 1 species
UACAGAGGCCUCGAGCGUUAAUCGGAAUCACUGGGCUUAAAGGGUGCGUAGGCGGCGCUGCAAGUGCCUUGUGAAAUCCCAUGGCUUAACCAUGGAACUGCUCGGUAGACUGCAGUGCUUGAGGUUGGUAGGGGCUGCCGGAACUCUAGGUGGAGCGGUGAAAUGCGUAGAUAUCUAGAGGAACGCCCAAGGCGAAGGCAGGCAGCUGGGCCAAUUCUGACGCUGAGGCACGAAAGCGUGGGGAGCAAACGGG